UGGGGAAUAUUGCACAAUGGGCGAAAGCCUGAUGCAGCGACGCCGCGUGAGGGAUGAAGGCCUUCGGGUUGUAAACCCCUUUCAGCAGGGAAGAAGCGCAAGUGACGGUACCUGCAGAAGAAGCGCCGGCUAACUACGUGCCAGCAGCCGCGGUAAUACGUAGGGCGCAAGCGUUGUCCGGAAUUAUUGGGCGUAAAGAGCUCGUAGGCGGUUUGUCGCGUCUGGUGUGAAAACUCGAGGCUCAACCUCGAGCUUGCAUCGGGUACGGGCAGACUAGAGUGCGGUAGGGGAGACUGGAAUUCCUGGUGUAGCGGUGGAAUGCGCAGAUAUCAGGAGGAACACCGAUGGCGAAGGCAGGUCUCUGGGCCGCAACUGACGCUGAGGAGCGAAAGCAUGGGGAGCGAACA
rnacentral:rRNA from 1 species